AAGUGAACUACUCAUAUGAAAGAAAAUCCAGAUUACAGUUAAGUGGUAAAGAAAAUAGUAUUUUAAUGGCUGAGUUCAACAUCACAAAUCAUGCUUGCAAAGAAUAACUACUCCGUAAACUCUACAUUUGAAAUUGAGAGAAUCAAAUGAUCAAAAGCACAAUUAAUUUUAUACAACCCGGUUUGAAAUGAAUUAGAUAUAUUCUAUUUAUUGAAGACAUGGAGAAGGCUUCAACGUUCGCGACUUCUCAGGGCAGUUUCAAGCUCACAAUCAAAGCACAACACUGUUAUCAAUUCAACCAACACUUCAAAUUAAUUCCAGAAGCUCAUAAACUCCAUUUAUAUUCAGUGGUCAUGCUAUAAUACAGAUUAUCACUCAACAGCAAAAAGGUCAUAUGAACAAACUGAAAAACUCAAAUUCAUUACAAAUUGGAACCAGUACAGGGAUAAUGGUAAUAGGUGAAUAAACGCAACUAAAAAAUUUAGCUUCUUAACGCAGAUACAAACACAUCACAACUGAACAAUCAGUGUAAAUAAACCUUAUAUCAAUUAACAUGGAUACAUGAAAUUAAACAUGGACAUAACAUGCAAUUCAGAUCUUCAAGUAAACAUCCUAACAGAGAAAUACAGAAAUCCGUGAGGAUGAAGGAAUAUGUGUGAGAUUUCUGCAGAGAAUUAGUGUGUUUUUUUCUGAAGAAUGCAGAGAUAAAAGAUGCCUAAAAUAUGUGUGUAAGUGAGUUUUUUAGGCAGAAAAAUGAGGGAAUGUGUGAGAGAAUCUAUCAGCUAAAAAAUAGGAAAGAAGCAUCAGUUUUUAACUGAUUUUUGGACAAUUGUCCAUUCAGAUUAUUCCUUCCUCUUUUAACAGCCCCUUUAACUUCUGAAUUUACCCCUUUUUACCCCAAGUUUGACCUAAUUUCCCUUAUCUUAUUACAAUUUAAUCCCUUUCUAGAAGCUUCCUACAUAGCUAUCUAAGAUUCCCUAUUUUGCUUUCCCAAUUACCGCUUAAAUUUCUGAUAUUUAAAAACAAACUAUAACAGGAAAAUCAAACAAAUCCAAAGAUUAAGCAGAACUGAAAAUUAUGCAAAUUAAUCGAAUAAUCUGGUUCAAUAUCUAAAUUAAUUCAAAAUCAAUUACCCUAACAACUCAUGCAAUUAACUAACUAACAUGUAAUUAAAUAUUAACCAAAUCAUGCAAAAUAUGAGACUAUCUAAUCAUAAAUCCUAAUUGGUAUGAAUCAUGUUUAACAUUUGAGAAGAGCGGCAUACUUUGAGAAAACCGGAAGAAGAGAAAACUAAUUAAUCGAAUAUGAAAGAAAAGAAAGAAAUUACCUAUUAAUCUUUAAACAAAACACCACAGAGCUAUGGCGGAAUUUGGACGGUCAAACAACGGCUUUGAUCAAAAUGUGACCUCCGAGAUAUGAUGGUAGACUAUAAUCUCGUAUUUUAGUCGCUUAUUGCACUCUAAUUUGCUGCAGUUUACUUGUGUUUGAGCUUUAAUUAAUAGUGUUUUGCACUUACUAUGUAUUUUAUGCCUUGUAAGAAUGAUUCCGAGCUAUGUAGAUGUUAUUGAAUGAUUUGAGCUUUGAUGUCUGAGUAAAAGCCCAAGAGAUUAAGCCGAGAUCAUGUUCGGGGGUCGAUGACCACGUCUGGACGUCAAAAAGCAAGAAAAAUCCAUACUAUGAGAAAUCCCCACUGCCGCGGUGCAUGGGGCGCCGCAGCUGUGCAUUUCUCUACUGCCUGUCAGAACUAGCUCCCUGAAUUUCCCUACUAAUGCCCCGCAUGGCGCAUCGCCCCAUGCGGCGCGCCUGUGCAAUUUUUACAGAGGUAUUUACCUAUUUCGGCUAGGAGAAGGUAAUUUCGUCUGGCCCGACCCAACUUGGUAUAAAUACAUUAAAAAAUAUUAUAUCCUGGACUUUUGGCAGGAGUGGGAGGAGUAAAAGCACAAGGAUUUCAUCAUUCCUUCCUCACUCAAGACCCGACUUUGGAUAGAAUUUAUGUUUUCCUAUAGUUUAAUUGUAUUUGUGAUGAGUUGCUCCAUAUAUAUGGAGUAGUUCUCGUUAGGGUUUGAUAGAUUUUAUGUAUUGAUGAUUGUUUGUGGAUUAUAAUUCUAGUUUUAUGUAUUGAAGCAUUUCUGGAUGAUAUAAUUGUUGUAUAUAUAUUCACUUGUUCAUGUAGUCGAGAGAGGCAUAACUUGUGAUAUCUUUGCAUUAUCUUGUUGGUUGAGUUCAAUAAUUCUUCUUAGUAAUCGAACGAGGCUAGUUGAAUCAUUGAUUAAACUUAGUUAGGAGGAUAAUCGAGGGAGGAUAUCCUAAAGACCAAUCCACUAGGCAUUCUUGCAUAUCUUCACGUUCUUAAAAUUGGUUCAUCUUGUGAGGUUAAGACUUAAUCGAGAGAGGAAUUUUUACUGAACGUUUGAACUAAUAAUUGAGUGAAUUAGAGAGACUCACUUAAACAUUAGAAGUGAAUUAUCUAGAGUUAGAUCCCAAACUAUUAUCUUGCACCUAUCCUAUCAACCCCUAUUUUUCUCCCACUGAUAACUUUCUCGCUUACCUUUGUUGCGAUAUUCAUUAGUCAAUAGCUUUAUAUUCUUAGUUAAUUUUAGUUAUUCAUCAUAAAAACAUCGAUUGUUGAUUCUCCUGGAUAGCAAUAAAGCUAGAAAUAUGAAAAUAUUUAUUAACUCUAAUCCUUGUGGAUACGAUAUUAUACUAUACUAUCUUUGAAUAGCGAACAUAAUUAAAGUGGUGUUUUGCACUCGCCAAAUUUUGGCGUCGUUGCCGGGGAUUGUCAAUUAACAGUGUUUGAAAUAGUUUGUACUAAUUUAUGUAUUUUUCUUUUAUUUUUAUUUUAUUUUUCUCUUUUUACAUUUGGUAUUAUUUGAUUGUGCGCAUGUUACAGGUUAGAUUGUUGCAUGACUCGAACCUCUCCGAAGGAAGUGCUGCCAUACGAGCCAGAAAUUAAAAAACAACUGCGAUGCUGAAGAAGGAAGAAAUCUCACAGAGAUAAUAGAAAAUGUUGGGCGAUUCUCAACCAAAGAACUUAUGGUUGUAAACGGUGAAGAUAAUGUGGAUUUGGCUGCGAGAGAAGCAGCCCAACAAAGAGAACAAGUUGCAUGGGAUGUUGAGGUAGCAACUAUUAGAGAUGCGCAUAACAUCUAUGAAGAAGAGAGGGGUCUCAAACCUAAUCGACAUCAACCCUUUUUGUAACACCCAGGAAAAUUUUGAAGAAAUUAAGUGUAAAGCACGGUAAAAUUUACAAAGAAAAUAAUGUUUUGGGUUGAACAAUGCACGGGAAAGUAAAAAAAUAUUUUUGGCAAAACUGUGCAUUUCUGCGGUCCAUUAUGCGACCGCAGAAUCACGCGGACGGCAUAAUGGCCGCAGAGUGACACAGUUAUUUGGGUCAGUUGUAAGCAAUUAUGCGGUCGACUAUGCGACCGCAGAACAGUUAUGCGGACCGCAGACUCACGCAGAUUUUUAUAAUUUUGGACACCAAUUAUGCGACCCAUAUGCGGUCCGCAUAACCAUAAUGCGGUUGCAUAUGCGACCGCAGAACCUAUUCCGGAGCUUCAUUUUUGAGUUUUUAAAACUCGACCCUAUUUCGUUACAUACAUGCAAAGGGUCAUUUUUGAGCAAAUAUUCUGAUGUUUUAAAGAGAAGGGAGAGUGUUUUAGAGAGAGAGAAAACUCUAGGCUAAUUAUUCAUCAAAUCUUGCUCAAACCUUGGAAGAUUAACAAGGGAAACCCACAAGCUAUUCAUCUAAGAGGUAAGGUUCCAUACCCUAGUUUUCAAUUUCAAAUUUGGGUAGAAGAUGGUUGAUUAGGAGUAUGAUUCAUGGGUAUUAGAGUAUUAUUUAUACAUGCAUGUACCAAUAAAAAUUGUGGGAAGAUUGUUGAACUUAAAUAAGUAAAGAUUGGGUUGUGGGAUGAUGGAAUCCUCCAUAAAAGGACCUUGAACCUUAAUUCACACUUAGUGUUUGAUAAAAUGCUCAAAUGAGCUGAGACCAUGAAUAUCUUCCUAAUUAUGGUUCAAUUUUGUUAUGUCUCAAAUAGAUUGGGAUUGCUAGAAUUUCCGGAACGUUGUAGUAAUUUAAAUAAAGCUCAAUUGAGGUAUGUUGGCUAAACUUUCUCUCUUGGAAUUGAAUUCCAUAAUGUUACCGUGAGUUUCAAAGUAUGGGUUGCGUAUUAAAAUGUUAUGGCUUUGAAUCGUAUUUCAAAUGAAAGCUAGUAGUCCAAAUUGUAUGAGAAACCCUCAAUAUUCUUAAGACUCUUAAUUGCUCAUAUGUGUAACUAAAGUCUUGAUUGGGAAUGUCUUAUUGUUGAUAACCUAUAAAGAUGUUUGGAAGUGAAAUCAGUGAAUUGGGGGUAUAAAGUGUGGCCAACGUGCCAAUAGUGAAACGUAUACUUGUGGCCAAUGGUGCCGAUGUAAUGAAAUAAUGUGAGAAAGAUUAUGAAAUGAGCUUUGAAUCAAUUAUUCCAAAAUUGACUUCGACAAUAAAAUCGGCUAAAAUAUUAUGAACUUAAGUGAUGCCCAUAUGUGGUUGUUUUAGCUAAUGAUAUGCUUUGUAAGUAAUUUUCAAUGUGCUUUACACUCUUACAUAUUCGUGAGUGGAAAUUGUGUAUAAUUUUAAUUUGUACUUUGAUUGCCAAUCAUUGUACUCCUUUUAUUGGUAGUGGAAAUUGUGUAUAAUUUUAAUUUGUACUUUGAUUGCCAAUCAUUGUACUCCUUUUAUUGGUAAGAAAUCGAUUAUGUUUAAAGCCUUCAUUACUAAUGAACUUAAAGUUGUGAUUUUCGGAAUAUUCUACUUAUUGAUAAUUAUGAUGAUGAUCUAUGAAAGGGAAGAAAUGAAAGUGUGGAAUAUAAAAUACGGCCAUUGCGCCAUGAAUAAAGAAUAAUAUGUUUGGACAAGAGAGCCAAUAAAAUAAUAAUGUUUUAAGUGGUUGAAAGUACUGAUUAGGUGAUAUUUGAUGUGAAAGGUUAUGAGAUGUACGCAUUUGUACUUUUGUUUGCAAUGUGUUAAUAAACCCUAUGGACGGUCUUUGAAACGCAUAGGUAUAUUGUGUUAUAAAACCCUAUGGAUGGUCUUUGAAACGCAUAGGUAUAUUGUGUUAUGAAACUCUAUGGACGGUCUAUAAAACGCAUAGGUAUAUUAUGCUAUGAAACCCUAUGGACGGUCUAUGAAACGCAUAGGUAUAUUAUGUUAUGAAAUUUUAUGGACGGUCUAUGAACGCAUAGGUACAUUGUGUUAUGAAAUCCUGUGGACAGUCUAUGAACCGCAUAGGUACAUUGUGUUAUGAAAUCGUGUGGGGGGUCUAUGAAACGCAUAGGUACAUUGUGUUAUGAAAUCCUGUGGACGAUCUAUGAAAUGCAUAGGUGCAUUGUGUAUAAGAGGUAUAGAUGUACGGUAUGAAUAAACACUAUGGACAGUCUAUGGAACGCACAAGUGUAUAAUUUGAUAUGUAUUCCACGUAUAGAUCAUAUGGGCAUUCUAUUUUGAAAGAGGAUUUCUAGCUAUACAUACUAGUGCUAUUCGACAGUACUAACGUCCCUUUUGCAGGGGGCGCUGCAUCUUUAAUGGAUGCAUGUGGUUCUAUAGUAGGUGGCAUUGAUCAGCGAUAGCAGUACACUCCUUUCAGCCGAUUUGGUGAGCCCCACUUCAUUUCGGGGUCAUGUAUCUUUUGUUUCUCAGGCACUUUGUGGUUGAGGUAUAGCCGGGGCCUCGUUGCCGGCAUUUACAUAUUACUCUCCAAUUGUACUUAGAGGCUCCGUAGACAAGUUGUGGGUGGUAUUUGAUGUUGGGAAUUGGAUUAGAACUGUUGGUGUUUGGCAACAUAUUUUUCAUCUAUAAACUCGUACUAUUUUGGAAAUAUUGAAUUAUGCUAUUAAUGGGAAUGAAAUAGAAGCGGUUAAUGAAAUUUCUUCAAUAUUUGAUUAACGAAGUACAUCUCCGCUUUAUUCACUAAUGAAUCUGGGUAGAAUGAAAUAUAUCAGGCUUGCUCAAUCGGGUUCACUCGGUUGAGCGCCAGUCGCGCUCCUCGAUUUUGGGGCAUGACACUUUCUAGGGAGACCACUUGGUGAUUAUGCUAGACCGGUCUAAAGUCAAGGUUUAUCAAGUGUUAGACCACCUCCAAUUGCAGCAAAUAAUUUUGAGUUAAAGCAAGGGUUGCUUCAAACCCUUCAGAAUUAUUGUGUCUUAAGAGGGAAGCCAAACGAAGAUCCAAACACACAUCUAAUGGACUUCGAGGAGAUUAUGAACACCUUUCAAUACAAUGGUGUGUCACGAGAUGUAGUGUACUUGAGGGCAUUCCCCUUCACACUCAAAUACGAUGCAAAAUAGUGGCUUUGAAGCUUAACCACAGGUUCGAUUAGAACAUGGAAGGAGAUGACCAGAAAAUUCCUUGAUAAAUAUUUAUCUUCAGCUAAGACCGGAAAGUUCAGAUGAGAAAUCCAUAACUUCUGUCAGAAACAGCAUGAAACUGUUUUUCAAGCACGGAAGAGGUUUAACGAGAUUGUUAGAAAGUGUCAACAUAGCGGAAUACAACUCUGGAUGCAACUCCAGGACUUUUGGGAUGGAUUGACACCGGCCUCAUGUAGAACAUUGAGCAAUGCAGCUGGAGGCCCGUUGAUGAAGAAGAAUUCAUAGGAGAUAGUUACUGUUCUUGAUUAGUUAUCUAAAGAGGCUAAUCAGUGGCCCAGUGAGAGUGCUAAAACAAGAAGAUCAAAUGGUGUUUGUCAGGUUGAUGCUAACACAUUUGUGCAGGUACAGCUUGAUGCUAUGGCCAACGAGAUAAGGAGGUUGACCUUAGCCUCGAUACAAAGUGUGCCUCACACAGCUUAUGAUAUAUGUGGAAGAGGACACCCUACGCAUGAGUGUCAAGCCUCAAGAAGUGAAUGCUGUGGGAAAUUACAUUUUCAAUGCAAUGGGUCAGGGGCACCCCGAUAUUUCAUGGAGUUCACCUGGGGGUAAUGCAAAUGCAUGGCAACAAAAAAACUCUAGAACCCAGGGACAAAGAGCUCAAGCAUACCAAAAUCAGCAGAGACAGCAAUUUCAGCCUUAACAACCCAUUCAGUCUGGCAUAGAAGAUCUCACGAAGGCCUUCAUUCUAAAAACUGAUGAGAGGCUUGAAACUCAUAGCGUAGCUAUAUGGAAACAUGGAGCAGCUAUCAAAAAAAUAGGUAUUAGUUUUCAAAACUUGGAAAUACAGGUUUGGCAGCUAGCCACUCUAUUGUCUGAGAGGAUUCCAGGAACUCUGCCCGCUGAUACUGAGAGAAAUCUCAAAGAAACAGUGAAUGUUGUGACCUUGAGAAGUGGGAAAGUGUUGAAGGAUUCUACCCCUAUCCAAAACGUUGUGAUAAUUGUAAAAGAAAGUGGGGAGCAACUGAAAAGUGAUGAUAACAAGAAGAAGAAAGGCCCAAUAAAAACUGAGAAAAAGAAGAAGGGAAAAAAAUCGAGAAAGGGAGGAACCUCAGAAGAGCGAGCAUGUGCCUGGUUUACCUUUUCCCAAAAGCUAUAUAGAGAAAGGCUGGACAAGCAGUUUGAGAGAUUUCUAGAUGUGCUAAAACAAGUCCAUGUAAACUUACCAUUUAUAGAAGUGCUCUUACAAAUGCUUGCUUAUGCCAAAUUUAUGAAGGAGAUCAUGACAAAGAAGAGGAAAAUAGAGAAGACCUCAAUGGUCAAGGUUAUAGAGCAUUGCAGUGCUAUAUUGUAAAAUAAACUCCCACAAAAGUGUGGAGAUCCAGGGAGAUUUACUAUACCAUGCUCAUUAGGGACUAUAAAUUUUGAUAAGUCUUUAUGUGAUUCUGGUGCAUCAAUUAACUUAAUGCCUCUAUCUAUUUACAGGAAACUGGAGAAGUAGAUUUGAGAGAUAAGGUCGGUGCCAAUAUUUUUGUAGCUGGAAGACCAAACGAACUUAAUACCCGAAGGGAUAGUAGAAUAUGUGUUAGUUCGGGUGGAUAAGUUUGUAUUUCCUGUAAAUUUUAUAGUGAUGAAUAUGGAGGAGAACAAGGAGGUCCCCCUCAUCUUAGGAAGACCAUUCUUAGCGAUGGGUAGAGCUAUACUAGAUAUACACGAGAGACAAUUCAUGCUUAGAGUGGGUGAGGAGACUGUGACUUUUGAUAUGAAUGUAGAAAAGGGGGUGCAAGAAGAAAAAUCAAUUGCGAAUGUUCAGUGGAAAGUGAAGGGCACAAAAGAGAAGGCUACACUGAGUGAGAAAGAUAAGUGUGGGGUGUACCCCAAAAAGGGUGAGAAGAAGUUGUCGGCAUGGAUGCAUUAGUCUGAAUGCGAGAAAUGGAUCCCGAUUUGACUCAGACCCCGAGUAGAUGUUCAGGGAAGCUUACAUUACCUUAUGCUUUUUAAUUGUGUGUCAUGGGGAUAUGCCACAACUUAAAGUUUGGGGUGGGGGAUAAUUGUAUGUUGUAUGUAUAUAUGUUAGUUUUGUCAGUUGUAGUAGUUGGAAAAUUGAAAAAAACAUAAAAAUUGAAAAACACAAUCGAUUUUUCCCGUUGAUGGAUAUCAUUCGACGGGUUUCUUGAGGGAUUAAAGUCGAAAUAAAAAAGACAAAAAGAUUCUCUUUUGUAGGUAGUGUAUUAAUUUUCCCUUGGUUUUUCUUUGUGCCGCGGUUAUUUUUCAAGGUUUUUGUUUGAACCAUGUGUAGUUAGUUUUUAUUGUUUUUAGGAGUAGGCAACCUAGUGCUAUGAUUUGAAUUGUAGGCAAUAUCUCUUAACUUUAUUAUACCUUUAGAAUUGUGAGUGUUUUAAUUGUGACGCUUAGGCUCAGUUUUUUACUCUUGUAUAAGUACUUUAAAUUGUAUGAUCUUAACUUUGCUUAACUCCUUUUACUAGAGUGUCUUGAUAGUCUGAUCUGAGUGAGUUAUGUGCCAUGUGUGUGCGGUUUUGUGUUAUUCUGUGCAUCGCAUUUGAUAUCUAGAACUUUCCCCGUGUGUUUGCAAAGCAAAAUAGUAGUUUUAUUCAGUCUUGGAAGUGAUUUAGGCAUUUCUUUGUUGAGCCAGAUAUAUGCUUUUAUCCACCUAAUUGUUAUGUAUCUUAGUAAACUCCUUUGAUCCUGUAAUCCUAUUUGUUAGGUAACCACAUUACAAUCCCUAUCCAUUUGUUUGAAUUGACCAUCUAUUUGAACGUUUUACCUCUCGUGAGCACUUGAAUUUGAUAUGAACUUGCAAAAGUUGAAGUGUGGGAUGGUUGGUUUGGCUUUUGAGUGGAAUUAUUGAAAUAAGGAGAAGGUGCAAUGUUUUGAAAAAGUAAGAGCCACUUGAAUUGAAAAGGAAAGAAAAAAUAAGUGUAUGAUUGUGAACAAUAUUCCUUGAUAAUGGUAACUCCUGAUAUAUUUGUGCUUAAAGAAGUAGGGAGUUAAUGUGUAUUGAUGUGAAGGUGGAGUUUUGGUUUGACAUAAGUGUUGGGUUUUGAAUGGUUAAUUGUAUGUAUUAAAGUGCUUAUGGAGGUAUAGUCAAUCAUAUAUCUAAUUUUAUCCUACUAAUCCUACAGCCUACAUUACAACUAAUUAAAGUCAUAACUUGAUCCUUGACUGAAUGAGCUCAAUUAGUAGAGUAGUACACUACGGGCAAGCUUAUCGUACGUCUUUUGUGGCAUAUGAAUGUUGUUUAUGAGAGUGAGCAAAUUCUUUCUAUCUUUAGUUCCUAAUUGUUCUUAAAUUUCAUUAUGUGUGGGACUACCCUCUAUUGUUAUGUCAGGGAACUUAAUUCACGAAGGAAAAGUAAUGCUUGACCUCUCUGUUAGAGUAAGUGAGCGGUUUACAAAUAAUGCGUGGUGCUUUUGAGUCAAAUCUUGAGGUGAGGAUGUUGCGGUAUUGUACUUAAUCUAUUUUAAAUAUUCUUGGUAUGAUAAGUUAUGAGAGUUGUUUAAAAAGGUCGUGCCUAUGUGAAGUUUAAUUUAAUUACUCGAGGAUGAGCAAUAGUUUAAGUGUGGGGUGUUGAUGGUAGGCUAUAAUCUCCUAUUGUUGUCUCUUAUAUCACUCUAAUUUUCUGCACUUUACUUGUGUUUGAGCUUUAAUUAAUAGUUUUUUGCACUUACUGUGUGUUUUAUGCCUUGUAGGAGUGAUUCCGAGCUAUGUAGAUGUUAUGGAAUGAAUUUGGGUGAUUUGGAGCUUUGAAGUCUGAGUAAAAGCCCAAGGGAUUAAGAAGGGAUCGUGGUCGCGGGUCGAGGACCAAGUCUGGACGUCAAAACGUAUGCAAAAUCUGUACUCUGAGAAAUCUCCACUGCCGUGACGCGUGGGGCAACGUGUGGGGUGCCGCAGCUGUGCAUUUAGCUGGUGCCUACCAGAACUAGCUCUCUGGAUUUCCCUACUAAUGCCCUGCAUGGCGCGUCGCCCCCAUGCGGUGUGCCUGUGCAAUAUUUACAGAGUUAUUUUCCUAUUUCGACUAGGAGAAGGUGAUUUCAUCUGGGCCCGACCCUACUUGGUAUAAAUACAUGGGAAAACAAAAUUUGUUGGACUUUUGACACAUAGUAGACCUAAGGAGGCUAAGGAGGAGUGGGAGGAGCAAUAGCACAAGGAUUUCAUCAUUCCUUCCUCACUCAAGACCCGAGUUUGGAUCGAAUUUAUGUUUUACUAUACUUUAAUUAUAUUUGUGAUGAAUUGCUCCAUAUCUAUGGGGUAGUUCUCUUUAGGAUUUGAUGGAUUUGGUGUAUUGAGUAUUGUUUGUGGAUUAUAACUCUAGUUUUAUGAAUUGAUGCAUUUUUUGAUGAUUUAAUUAUUGCAUCUAUAUUCACUUGUUCAGGUAAUCGAGAGAGGCAUAACUUGUGAUAUCUUUUCAUUAUCUUAUUGGUUGAGUUCCACAAUUCUUCUUAGUAAUCAAAAGAGGCUAGUUGAAUCACUGAUUAAACCUAGUUAGGAGGAUAAUCGAGAAAGGUCCUCCUAAAGACCAUUCCACCACGCAUUCUUGCAUAUCUUCACGUGCUUAAAAUUGGUUCAUCUUGUGAGGUUAUGACGUAAGCGAGAGAGGAGUUUUGACUGAACGUUUGAACUAAGAAUUGAGUGAAUCCAAUAGACUCACUUAAGCAUUAGAAGUGAAUUAUCUAGAGUUAGAUCCCAAAUAAUUAUCUUGCACCUAUCCUAUCAACCCCUAUUUUUCUGCCACUGAUAACUUCAUUUCUUACCUUUGUUGCGAUAGUCAUUAGUCAAUAUCUUUAGAUUCUUAGUUAAGUUUAGUUAUUCAUCAUAAAACCCUCAAUUGCUGAUUCUCCUGGAUAGCAAUCAAGCUAGAAACUACGAAAAUAUUGUUUAACUUCAAUCCCUAUGGAUACCAAAUUAUACUAUAGUAGUUUUGACUAGCGAGCAUAAUUAAAAAGGUGAAGGUUUGAGGUGAGCCGUCGGAGAGAGGUGAAUUUGUAACAUACGGCGGCUAGGGUUUAGAGAGAUGAGGGAGAUCGGUUAAAUGGGAAGUCUCUAAGGUUUGGGGGUCGGGUUCAGACAACUAUAUGGGUGGGGGGGGGAGGAUUAGUUACAAGUCGUUGGAUGAAGGAAGGUCAACGAUUGGGGAAUAAGGGGGCCAAACAGGGUCAUUUUGGGUUAGCGAGGGGGUUGGACCAGGUAGUGGGAGUGGACUGGGGCAGUUUUGGAGAAAACUUGGGUUUGAAACAAAAGCCCAGUCCGGUUUUAUCUUAGCAUCCCUCCUCUUUCAUUUCCUUCCUUGUCAGAUUUUGCAAAAUUAACCAUUUUUAAAGAAAGGCAAAAUUAAAACUUGAUGCCUAUUCCAUUUACCACGUGAACUAAUUAACUAUUUUAUAUUAACUAAAUAAAGCAAGGAAUAUGCAAACUAAAACGACAAAUGUUUUUUUAAAUCAAAUAUCUAUGUGAUUAUGCCUUUAAAAUAUUUCAAAUAAAUACCUAAAAUGCAAAGAUGAAUGAAAACAUAUUUUUGAUGGUUUUAGAAUAUUCCUAAUGAUGCAAAUGAUCUACUCAUAUGAUAAAAGUGCAAUCUAAAUUUCUACAAAGCAAUUAAAAUUAUUUUGAAUAUUUUUUAGGAGUAGUUUUAUAUAUGGAGCAAAAAUUACGUGCUCACAACUACCCCUCUUUGCUUGAAAACAUGAAGAGUUUCGGCAAAGAUAAAGUAAGCAACUACGAAAACUUGUAUGCCCUUUUGAUACUUCAUGGGAAGCAUUUUGGAAAGUUUGACCGAACCUUGCCUCAGCGGUUGCCUACAUAUCCUUGGCUAUAAAGGAAUCAAGUCAGUGUUGUUGUAAAAAUUUUGGUAGCUCGGACUACCAUAAAGCUGUGAUUUCACUGUUGUUGCUGCUGUUACGGCUUGCUGAACUCUUUAUUACACCAAAAUCAGACAUGAAAAGAAACUAAACAAGCUUAUCAGCUAUGAGUUAGAAGAUUCCUAUCUACAAGUCUUCUGAAACUUGAUCUUGAGCCUUGACUAUUUAUUCAUGCAGACUCUGAUCUGAACCUUAAUGCUUGCUAGCUGCAGGUUCUAGUUCAUUCUUCUACGGCUUCUUCUGAUGAAAACGGAAAUGCAAUGCUCGUGACUUCAGUCAUGUCUUGAGCAGUCCACAUCUUUUAAUCAACUUCUGUAUUUUGGAUUCACUUUUUUUUCUUUUCUUUAAUCUGGAUUGAGACUUUUUCUUUUGGUUAUCUUGAACCGUGAGCGUCAAAGUAAAACAUGCUCAGACACCAAAACAAGCAAACGAAUGAAAUGUUUUGGCCGCAUUUUUCACUAGAAAAAUUUCAUGAGUUAUUGAAAGCAAUAAAAGAUCGGGGUUGGUGUACCCUAGGAAAACAUGGUUCUUUGGGAAUGGUGUACCCUGAUUGUCUAAAUGGUGCCUCAACUAAGGAUUGGUGUGCCUUAUGUCGAGGAAAUACGAAGAAGGAAUGGUGUACCCUAUGUCUAAAAUAACAUCAACUAGGGAGUGGAGACCCUAUGCUGGAAAAGAAAAGUAGGGAGUGAGACCCUCUGUCUAAAAUAAUGUCAACUAGGGAGUGGAGACCAUAUGUCUAAAAUAAAAUCAACUAGGGAGUAGAGACCCUAUGUUGGAAAAGAAGACUAGGGAGUGGAGACCCUAUUUAUAAAAUAAACAUCAACUAGGGAGUGGAGACCCUAUGAUGGAAAAGGAGACUAGGGAGUGGAGACCCUAUGUCUAAAAUAAAAAUCAAUUAGAGAGUGGAGACCCUAUGUUGGAAAAGAAGACUAGGGAGUGGAGACCCUAUGUCAAAAAUAAAAUCAACUAGGGAGUGAAGACCCUAUGUUGGAAAAUGAGACUAGGGAGUGGAGACCCUAUGUUGGAAAACGAGUCUUGGGAGUGGAGACCCUAUGUCUAAAAUAUCGUCAACUAUGUAGUGGAGACCCUAUGUUGGAAAAGGAGACUAGGGAGUGGAGACCCAUGUCUUAAAUAACAUCAACUAGGGAGUGGAGACCCUAUGUUAUAAAAGGAGACUAGGGAGUAGAGACCCUAUGUCUAAAAUAAAAUCAUGAUUUUGAACUUUGUUUUUUCUUUCUUUUUUCAUCAUUUCAAUCAUUCAUUUUUUUAGAGAAUGAGUAAAUGCAGGAAAGAAUUUGGAGAAGACAUCCCUUUUGGAGUUGUUGCUGCUGCAGAGCUGUUUCUAGCCCCCGCGCAGUUUCUUUUGGUUGCACCUGCUUCUUGAAAGGUUGCUUUUAGAUUGCACCUAUUUCGUGUUUUUCAAACAAAGAACAAUUUAUCAGUUUGAAAUGGUGGUUGGUUUUGUAGCCUUGAAUGUUUUAGUCACUUUAUCUCGGUACGGCUUCUUUGAUGAUACUUUCAACUGUAACUGGAUGUUUCCUGAAUACCGAUUUCACUUAUGGCCCAGAGAACCUUUGGCUUUUCCAAACUUUGCCAUGACGGUCGGUCACAUGGGACUUAAGCUUUUUCAAAUUAAAUUUGCCUUUGUAGGCCUUUGACUUCUUUCUUCCAAGUUUAACUUCAGAGUAUUGGGGAACCUUUGGCUUUUCAAACUUUGCCAAGACGGUUAGCCACUUGGGACUUAACCUUUUCAACUUCAUUUCGCCCUUGUAGGCACUUCAGUUUGAUUUCCUCCUUCCAAGAGUUUUUUAUUUUGAAACAUUGGCCGCCAUGGCCAGUCGGGGUCGACUUGGUGCCCCUUCCGAGACUGGGUGCCUAUUUUGUAUAUUAGCUUGUAUCAAACGGGAGCCCUAUAAAUCAGUCUUGUCAUCCCUUCUUUGUCUUAGUUUUUGGAAACAAAGUUAGACUGAAAAUGAAUCAAAGAAAAAUAAGCAAUUGAAUGGAGAAUAAGUUUAAACAAGAGGUAUCCCUUACCGGGAAAGGAUAGAAGGACUUAUUUGGAGUAAAUGCAGACUUCGGUGAACAUGACACGCUUUUUGGAAUGGAUGCCUGAUCUGUGCAAACUGUCCGACUCUCAGAAAUUGAUCACAACCUUUGCCUCAAAACCGAGAAACCUUGCCCAGGACUGUGUCGAUGGCAAUGGCUGUGAGGAUUAUCUUUUUGAUCAGUGGCGCCCUUUGAGGGUUUUCACCAGUUGACCUCUCUCAUUUAUCUUCUCACCAUCACCUUAUAGUGCUCUUUGCGAGUUUUCAAUACAAGACUCUCUCAUUUUAGUUUCUUUACUCCCCAUCGCCUUAUGGUGCUCGUGAGAAUUUUCACCAAUAAGACUAUCUCAUUUUGGUUGAAUCAGAUUAAAGUAACUGUAUCCUCCAAUUUUGAACAUCUUUGUCGAUUGAUCAGAAGUACUUGGAAAGGAUUUGGGUAAAAGAAUUUUGGAUUGAAUUAUAACUUUGGAACCUUUUGGUAUGAUUGAAUCCCAGAGAGAGGCUGCCUAUGUAUCCUUUUGGAAUCAAGUCAAACUUAGUUCAAUUAGCAAGAACUGCUUUGGAUUUUUGUUUUGUUUUCUUUUACUUCUUCUUUCUCUCCACUUUUUUCUUUCUUGUUUUUUUUUUAAUAAUAUCUUAAGGUUCCAAAAAGGGUAAUUAAAGAAAGGUAACCGGCUCAAAAAGGGUUAGAAAAGGGUCAACCAUAGUACCUUUUGACUGCAUCCGCGUUGACAGUUGUUUUAGGGACAUUUCUUUCGAUGCUUCCAAAGUGCAGCACUAUCUUUUGGCAUUACUCUCGUUACAAUGUAUGGACGUUUCUAGGUUGGAGCCAAUUAUCCUUUAGCUUCUUCACGAGGUGGGAGGAUACGUCUCAGAAUAAGUUGUCCUAUUUCAAAUUUCCUAGGUCAUACUUUCUUGUUGUAGACACGGACCAUUCUUGUGUUGGUACAACUAUCAGUGGCAAGCUGCGGCGAAUCAUUUUUUCAUUAAUCAGUGUCAAUUGUUCUAAUCGGUUCUUGACCCAAUCUUUAUCCUAAAUCUCGUUUUCAACAAUGAUCCAAAGAGAGGGAUUUUCGACUUUUUUCAAUUUCAUUCGAACAUGGCUUAGGCCUACUGUUCCAAUUCUUUGUUUAUUUUCUCACAAACUUCAUCGUCAACACAUUCUGCUUCUUGAUUCAUUAUUUCGAGGUCUGGCAGCUUUUUAGGAUCUGGGCAUAAAGUCCGCAAGCAUGUCAUGUUAUUAAAAUCUGCAUUAAUAGAACUGAAAAUAGAAUAAGCAAAGUGAUAAGAAUAGAAAAAUAGAACUCAAAUCGGCAUUUGAAUUUUUUUGUUUAAUUUUUAAAGAUAGAAGGGUUUACAUGAAAAAGUAAGACAAAAAAGUAAAACAAUCGGAUUACACCCUAAAAUAAUCCGAAAGCAGAAAAGACAGCAAGACGGUCUGACAGAGAACUUUUCAAGUUUGGCGCCUGCUUUUUGGUUUCUCUUCUACUGCGGCAAUGGCUACUAUGGCUUUCAAUGCUGGAUCAAAUUUCCCAUCAUCACAGAUUAUUACAACGACUAGGCCGUUGUUGUGAUUAGGAAAAAAAUUGGUUGUUACAUUAGGAGCCUCUUCAUCCCUAAGAAGGAUUCGCUUAGCUUCAAUCAAGUCUUCAACUCCCCUUUUGAGGGUCCAAUAGUCCUUUGUAUUGUGUCCCACUGCUCCAGAGUAAUAUUCACAUCUAGCAUCAGCUUGGUGCGAGGGGGACUUGGGGUUUGGCUGCUUCGGGGCCACUGGCUGCAGCAGGCCUAGCCUGACUAACUUUUGGAACAAACUUGAAUACGAUUCACCAAUUCUGAGGGGCUCUCUUGGGCGAGGAUUGUAUUAGGGAACAUUUGGUUGAGGAUUAUACGGAUCUUGGUAUGGAUAUGCAUUUACGGGAGGUGGAGCUCAGUUUUGUGUAUAAUGUUGUGGUCGUGUGUAAGUUUGCGCGUUCAUCACUGCAUAGGGAACCGGUGCCACGACAUAAGAAGCAUCUUGAUGGGGAUAAUAGUGUUGUGGGACCUUACGAGGCAUAUAUGACUGGUUGAAUAACCUACGGGCCCCCACGAGCUAGAAGCCAUCAUGGCUUCCUCUUCUCUCCUGUUUCUGUUCAUCAACCCCCCUGAACCAUUCAUAAUGGCCUGUGAUGUGGCCUUAAAGAUAGCAUGACUCAAAAUUCUGCCCGUUUUAAACCAUUUUCGACCCGCUCUCCAAUUUUGAUAGCCAUAGUGAACGUCUUACCCGUAGCGAACAUUAUGUUCUGGAAGUAGUCUACCUCUUGGGUCUGUAGGAAGCUCGUAACCAUUUCUGCUUCGUCGAUUGAAGGCUUUACCCCGACAGCUUGCUCACGCCAUUGAUAGUAUAUUCACGGAAAAUUACCGCAGUUUUCUUUUUCAAACUGGACAAAGAGUUUCUGUCGGGAGCGAUGUCCACAUUAUACUGGAACUGGCGGACAAAAUCUUAGGCCAGAUCGUCCCACACAUGCCAAUGGGUAAUUUCUUGAUCCAUAUACCACUCAGAAGCCAUUCUGGUGAGGCUUUCUCCAAAAUUGGCCAUUAACAUCUCCUCUUUUCCACCAGCACCCCUCUUCUAGUUACAGAAUCAUUUCAAAUGAGCGAUUGGGUCUCCGUGCCCGUCGUGCUUUUCAAGUUUUGGCAUUUUGAAGCCAGUCAGCAAAUGAACAUAGGGAAAUAUACACAGGUCAUAGUAUGAGACACUUCUUUGGCCACUCAGGCCUUGCAUGUUUUUCAGGCUUUGUUCCAGGCUUUUCAUCUUCUGAGCCAUUUCCUAUUGCUCGGGAUUCUUGACAAACCUUUUUUGCUCAACCGAGAAGUCACAUUGUGGAGGUUGAGUAAACGAGUAUGGGGUCACAUAUGUUAUUUCUGGUUAGAACUGUGGAUCCUAAAAGGUGAACGUUGGAGGCACAACAUACGGCCGUGGUAUAGUUGGUUGUGUUGUCGUGCAGACUGGUGCUGCAGAGAACAUUGAUGGCGGUGUCUUUGAAGCCGGCGCCUGGGGGUGAACCAUAAAAGGCAUGCCAGGACCGUUAGACGACAUUAGAGAGUACCCGCAUGAGAUGAACGGGUUGAGCACAGGGAUGUUGGUAGCCGCACCUGACCUUUGGAUCAACUUAGGGAACCCAGGAAUUGCACUCGGCAGUUCCCUACCAUUAGACCAGGUGUCCCACAUUUCCAACAUGCGGAGAUGCAACAUCCUAUUCUUAUCAGCAGUUGCUGAUUCUGGUUGUGCUAUAGCCGAUACCGGGCAAUCCUUAGGAUCGAUAAUUAGUGGAUGACUUUUGGAGACCAUAAGAACCCUGCCUUUGGAUCUUGUGAAGUAAGGAUGGGAAGCCAGAUUACCAACAAAAAUCAACCACCAAAAUAGAACCUGGCUCAAUUGCAUGCACAACAACCUUCUUAGUUUUGAGGCAUUUAACAUACAGAAAAUCACACUUUGGGAUGCAAUGCACUUAAACAAUAAAAUGCUUCUACCAUGCGUUUGAACGUUUGCGUAUUUUGUCCUGUCUUUUAAAUGUCCCUUUCCAUUCUAUACCUCUAUCAUUUCCAUUUAUGGCUCUCUUUUUCGAUUACUUUACUCUUGCUUUCUUUUUUUUCGCUCUUUAUUUUUCUCUGUUAUUUUUGUCACACUUUUCCUUCUUUUUCUUUCUCUUUUUUUUACUCAGUUUAUUUAAUGGUAAUGAUCGAAUCCGAUAGGGAUUGCCUGUGAUUCAUGAUGCCGCAUGAAUCAGAUUAUUACGUAAUUUGGGGAUACCUGGAACAAAGUACAUAAGCUAGCUCUUUUUUAGUUUUUUAUCGAUUUAAUUUUUUUUAUUUGUUCUAUGGGAAUUUUUGAAAAGAAGACUUCAUAAAGAAGAAAGAAAAUAUUCUUGGAUUUCGACUUGUUCUUUGGGGAAUUUUUGACAAAAAAGACUUCUAAAGAAAGAAGAAAAUAUUUUUUGAUUUUGAUAUUUUUGCUUUUGAAUUUUCAAAAGAACAAGUUCUAAAGAAGAAAAAAAAUAUUUUAGAUUUUGAAUUAAAAAAAAUUUUCUUUUUUUUUUUGAAUGAAAGACUUCGGAAAAGAAGGAAAAUAUUUUUUGGAUUUUCUAAGGAAAGAGUUCUAAGAAGGAAUUAAGUAAAGGGAAAAUAUUUUUAGAUUUUUUAUAAAAAUAGAUGGCUGGAACCGAUGAGAUUUACCUACGUAUCUCACAUCCUGUGAGAAUCAGACCCGCGUAGUUCGAUAAGUUUUGACACAACAGGAAAAACAUGACUUUCGAAAACAUUGGCUUAUUUUGAAAUGAUUUUUUUCCUUCAAAAAUGCGGCAGAGUUUCGGGAUUUUCAAAUACUUGGACUUUCAGAACCGGGUAAAUCUCCCUCUCCUCACUCUUAUUUUUUAUUGCUUUUCUUUUCCUAGUAUAGAAGCCGGUGAACAUGCAAGACGAAUUAAAUAAAUGCACAAGUAGAUCGUAAAAUGCAUCAGGAUGGUCUUUUAAUUUUGGGUACACCUGUCCUAGACGGACCCAACCCCUCUGUUGAUUCCCCAAAGUCAAAUUCACGUGAUGCAAACAAGCGUUCCUACUAGGGAUUCAGCAUGAGGCUAUGUUAUUCUAGGUUUGAAUCCCGGGGUGUGUUGUUUUAGACCUGGCUUACCCGAGCGAAUGACUCGAGCCGAGGGGUGGCAAUGUAACGGGAACCAAAAGGCCAUCCGUCUUUGUAACUUAUCCGAUCCUCGUUCUAAAUUAGGGAUAUGACACUCUAACAGAAAAGAAGCCACGCCAACGUGCGCUUCCCAGAAGAUUUAUAAAGACUUCGAGAGAGAAGGGUUUCGUAACAACUUAUAUACAGUUCACAUAAUAUCAAAGCGGUAAAUGAGCGGCAAUUAGUGCAUUACAACCAAACAUGUAAUAUCAGACAAUCACUAGAAAGCCAAGCAUAACAGUUACUCUAAGCUCAAAUUCUGAACCCUGAACUAGAAGUUUUGGGUUCGUGAUCCCCAACAAAUUUACCAGAGCUGUCACGCCUCCUUUUUCCGAAGAAUAGGGAGUUUUUGCAAUUAAAGUGACAUUAUUCGAAAUGGGAUUAUUUAUUUAAUUAGAAUCGCCGUUUGGGGUAAUUAUUAUGGUAUCCCAAGUCACAGGUUUAUUUUAUAAUCUCAAAUCAAGGUAAUUAACUCUAUUAUGGUCCGCGAAGGUAUGAGGUACUCCCUAGUUCCAUAGAUUUAGCACGAUCGCUGAAUAAUUAAUAAUUAUCCUAAUUAUCUUACUAAGUAAACGUUUAAAACCUAUUAUGCAUUACCGCUUCUAUACCGCUUUUAAUUAUUUAUUUAAUCGCUUUUAGUAUUUAUGGAAUUUAUUUGAACAAGUUGCGAAGUCGUGCACUUGUUGUUUUUGUACAUAUUGCGAAUCGCGCCACGUGAAAUGCACUCACGAUUUACAACAUGUUUAUUUUUAUUAUUAUUUGAAGUUGAGGUCAAGUCGCGUGAAACGCACACUUGAGUUGGAAUUUACGUAUCUUGACAAUGCCAUUAUAACUAUGGAACUUGUUUGUGAAUGAAAAUGUAAACACUAGUCCAUUCUAAUUCUUUGGACCCUUGAAGCAUUAUAACUAGUUAAAAGUGAUCAAUUAUGAUGGGGAACUGGACACGGGCAGUGGUUAAGGGCUCCAUUCCUAAUUUGUUUUUUUUUUCCUUCAAUAUAUGAGGCCCACGUUGUAAUCUCUAAAAGAUCUAGUACGGGCCUAUGCAAGCUUGGGGUAUGGCCCAUUAUUCUGCUACCAAUUCAGUCAUACAAUCAGAGACAAUUACACAUACCUCUAAGCCUUAAUAUUUGAUUAAAUAGCACAUUCUUGAAUCAAAGUGAACUACUCAUAUGAAGGAAAAUUCAUAUUACAGUUAAGUAGUAAAGGAAAUAGUGUUUUAAUGGUUGAGUGUAACAACACAAAUCAUGCUUGCAAAGAAUUACUACUCCCUAAACUUUACGUUUGAAACUGAGAGAAUCAAAUGAUCAAAAUCACAAUUACUUUUAUGCAACCCGGUUUGAAAUGAAUUACAUAUACCUACAGCUAUUAUUUCAGAGUUAAUACAAAAUUCUAGUUUUCGGAGACAUUGAGAAUCCUUCAACAUUCGCGACUCCUCAGGCUAGUUUUUAGCUCACAAUCAAAGCACACAUUGUUAUCAAUUCAAUCAAUACUUCAAAUUAAUUCUAGAAGCUCAUAAACUCCAUUGAUUUCCAAUGGUCAUGCUACAAUCUUGAUUAUCCCUCAACAUCAAAAAGGUCAUAUGAACAAACUGAAAAACUCAAAUUCAUUACAAAUUGGAACCGGUACAAGGGUAGUGGUAAUUGGUGAAUAAACUCAACUCAGAAUUUUAGCUUCUUAACGCAGAUACAAACACAUCACAGCUGAACAAUCAGUAUAAAUAAACCUUAUAUCAAUUAACAUGGAUACAUGAAAUUAAACAUGGACACAACAUGCAAUUCAGAUCUUCAAGUAAACAUCCUAUCAGAGAAAUACAGAGGUACAAUCACAUACCUAGAAGCAAAAUCAAUAGAUGAACUUGACAGAAAUAAAGGUUGGAGAUGAAAGGUGAAAUCUAGCAAGCAAGAAACAGCAACAAACUCAACAAUUAAGUCAAAAGUUCCACAGUUUAAAUGCCACUCGAAAUCCAAGAAAAAGUGAAGCAAAACCAGUAGAAAUUGGAAGGAGAACCAACUUUGAAUUUUUUUUUUGUUUUAUGUAUCUAAUUUGAACUUCGGGUUUGUUUUUCUAUCAAGAGAAGUCCGUGAGGAUAAAGGAAUAUGUGUGAGAUUUCUGCUGUGUUUUUCUGAAGAAUGCAUAAAUAAAAGAUGCCUAAACUAUGUGUGUGAGUGAGUCUUUUAUGCAGAAAAAUGAGAGAAUGUGUGAGAGAAUCUGUCAGCUGAAAAAUAGGAAAGAAGCAUAUGUUUUUAACAUAUUUUUGGACAGUUGUCCAUUCAGAUUAUUCCUUCCUUUUUUAAUUGCCCCUUUAAUUUCUGAAUUUACCCCUUUUUACCCUAAAUUUGACAUAAUUUCCCUUGUCUUAUUGUAUUUUAUUCCCUUUCUAGAAGCUUCCUACAUAGCUACCUAAAAUUUCCUAUUUUGCUUUCCCAAUUACCCCCUUAAAUUUAUGAUAUUUAUAAAUUAACUCUAACAAGAAAAUCAAACUGAUCCAGAGAUAAAGCAGAACUGACAAUUAUGCAAAUUAACUGAAUAAUCUGGUUCAACAUCUAAUUAAUUCAAAAUCAAUUAUCAUAACAACUCAUGCAAUUAACUAACUAACAUGUAAUUAAAUAUUAACCAAUUCAUGCAAAAGAUGAGACUAUCUAAUCUUAAAUCCUAUUUGGUACGAAUCAUGUUUAAAAUUUGAGAAGAGUAGCAUACUUUGAGAAAACUUGAAGAAAAGAGAACUAAUUAAUCGAAGAGGAAAGAAAAGAAAGAAAUUACCUAUUAAUCUUUAAACAAAAUAGCAUAGAGCUCCGACGGAAUCUGGACGGUCAAACAAUGGCAUUGAUCAAAAUAUGACCUCCAAGAUACGGCAUGAAACUUACAUCAACGAAUAGUUCUCAUCAAGAGCUUCCAAAUGAUGUAAAUUUUAACUGUAAAUGGAUGGAAUCAGUCAAGUGAUUAGAAGGGAAAAGGCGACGGCUAUGGUUUAGUUUCAAGAUCUAAAAAUUGACAAGAACAAGAAAGCUUUGAAAGGAAAAGUUAAGGGAUUUGGAGAGAUGAGGAUGUGAGGAUCUUUUGGUGAAGGUUUGAGGGUGUUUGGAGGUGAGCCGCCGGAGAGAGGAGUUUUUGGUAAAGGUUUAAGGGUCGGGUUCAGACAGCUAUAUGGGGGGAAAUGAUUAGAUACGAGCCAUUUG
rnacentral:lncRNA from 1 species